UACGGAGGGUGCAAGCAUUAAUCGGAAUUAUUGGGCGUAAAGGGCGCGUAGGCGGAAAUAAAAGUCAGAUGUGAAAUCCCAAGGCUCAACUUUGGGGCUGCAUUUGAAACUUUAUAUCUAGAGGAUUGGCGGAGAAAACGGAAUUCCACGUGUAGCGGUGAAAUGCGUAGAUAUGUGGAAGAACACCUGUGGCGAAAGCGGUUUUCUAGCUUAUACCUGACGCUGAGGCGCGAGAGCAAGGGGAGCAAACAGG
rnacentral:rRNA from 1 species